ensembl:ncRNA lncRNA:bxd bithoraxoid
UUUAAUAAGUUUCUGGCUGUUGGCUGAUUGUUGUUGUAGCUCUGGCUGGCUUUCUUCCUUUGAUGUUUCGAUUAAGUUCGGAGUUCGCGUUGCCGAACUGGUUGGUUAGGUCCCCUUUCCGUCCUCUCACCCCCUUCUGGGAACCAUUCCCAUCAGAGGGAGCAUUUUGGCUUAAGUUUAUGGCCAUUUCGUUCGUUUCACUGUCUUUGCUUUUUGGCGCUGCUCCUCGUUGGCUUCAUUUUCUUGAGCAUUUCACCCAUUUGCCAUUUACCUUUGCUUAUUUGGGCUUGUGCUGGAAAUUUUCUCACAUCGCCGCUCUGACGCAACUGGUUGCCGAUUGGCCCGCUCCACUUCACUCCCCAUCGUUCCGACCAACUCCCUAUCAGCCUAUCCACCCACCGCUCGCAAAUUUCGAAUUUGAUUUUAUUGUUAUGAUUUCAAUUGUUUUCGCAACGUAAACACUAGAGAUUUCCAAAGCAGACCAUGUCGAGUUGUCGGUUAAAUAAUUUUCAAUUUUUAUUACCCUCCGCCAGAGAGGUUUUGCAUUUAGCGCAUACUGUUCGAGUGACUCAGACCAAGGGGCUCUGAAAAUAAGAAACCACAGUUGGGAUACCCAACUCUCGAAGGAACAAUCCAAAUCUAUCUAGCAUGCAAAAAUUGUGGUAUUAAUCAUUGCCUCAGUUGAUGGAUAUGUGUUAUUAGAAAAACUUGCAAAUUUUCUUCGAGAAAUGUAUUGAUUCGGUUAUUUGCUCGCAUAAUUAUUAUCGAUCUUAUUAGCAUUCGCAGACAUUUUGCCACAAACAUGUCACAUUAGAACGCCCAAUUUCACGAGAACAAUUAUGACCUAGCACCGCCGAAGGUGAUCCUAAUAAUUGCACCAAUAUGCUUCGGUAAUCGUUUUGAGGCCAGACUCUCCCAGGACUCGAAGGCCGCCUUCCCGAAACUACAAAAAAGCACAUUAUCACUUCCCAUUGGACCGAGAUGACUUCAUUUUCGUGCCAUAUGCCUGUGCCGGUGCUGUACUUGUGGUUCCACCCGCUCCUCUUAAGUCGCUGCCAUGAUUUACUACAAGCAGAUGAUUUAAUAUAACCGCAUAUCUGGAUAUAGAAACACGCACACACCCGGCCAGAGUGCACUUCAGAUGCAUUCGACUGUAUUCGACUGCACUGGAAACAGGAACCCGUUGAACUGGCCCACAAACAGAGGCAGACACCCCACACAUGUUGUCAGUGAAGCGUCCGUUUUGGAGGAAAAACGGGACGACUGUUAAAGGGCCUCCAUCUUGAAAACAGACGCCUCUAAGAGGCGGCUCCGCAAGACGAUAACUCAAUUGAAUAUUUCAACAAAAAAGCAAUUUACAAAUGGGUUAAUACUUUUAACUAUACUAAUACUGUAACUAAAGGGUAAUUUAAAUAUAAUUAUAGAUUGUGAUCGGCUAGAAUUUAAAAUAUUUCCUUCUAUUUAUUAACAUUAUAUUAUGAUCGAGAAAAUAUUUAAUAAAUCGUUUCUCCUGGGUUAAAAUCAAAAAAAUUUCAUAUUACAUUAUUUCGAUUUCCUUAGCUAUCAACCAAGUUAACUAGUGGAAUAGUUGGGGAGAAAUUGUUUACAUUUGGUUGGCAUAUGGGUAGAAAUUGGUUUUGAAAACAAAUAAAACUAAACAAAAUAAAAGCCAUCAAAAUGAACUUCUGGCAGUGCGUAAAUCUAGGCGUCAACGAGCUGCGACCUGACCGAAGUGCUCAUCAAGAUGCUGGCCAA